rnacentral:rRNA from 1 species
AAUCAACGCUGGCGGCGUGCCUCAGACAUGCAAGUCGAACGAUUAAAGCUCUCUUCGGAGAGUGCAUAGAGUGGCGUACGGGAGAGUAACACGUAAGUAAUCUACCCUCGGGUGGGGAAUAACUUAAGGAAACUUAAGCUAAUACCGCAUAAUGCAGCGGCUCCUUAUGGAGACAGUUGUUAAAGCAUUUAUGCGCCUGGGGAGGAGCUUGCGGCAGAUUAGCUAGUUGGUAAGGUAACGGCUUACCAAGGCAACGAUCUGUAGCCGGUCUAAGAGGACGGUCGGUCUCACUGACACUGAAUAACGGGUCAGACUCCUACGGGAGGCAGCAGUCGGGAAUUUUGGGCAAUGGGCGAAAGCCUGACCCAGCAACGCCGCGUGAAGGAUGAAGUCUUUCGGGAUGUAAACUUCGGAAAUAUGGGAAGAAUAAAUGACGGUACCAUAUCUAAGGUCCGGCUAACUACGUGCCAGCAGCCGCGGUAAUACGUAGGGACCAAGCGUUGUUCGGAUUUACUGGGCGUAAAGGGUACGUAGGCGGCGCUGCAAGUCAAUUGUGAAAUCUCCGGGCUUAACUCGGAACGGCCAAUUGAUGCUGCAGUGCUAGAGUGCAGAA